CCUUGCAUGUAUUGGUUAACUAUUUAAUUACUACAAGCCUUUUCUUCAUGGUUAAGUAUUCUAUAUACCCAGAUUGUAAAUUGUAAUUACUAAGUAACAGUGGCAGCUGUAUUGAUAUACAUAAACACACCUUUAUUUUAAUCUUCUCAGAUCUGUUAAUUUAGCACACGGCUUCUCAAACUGGGGGUUGUGACUCCUCAGCAGGCCAUGAGGUUAUUACAUGGAGUCGCAUGCUGUCAGCCUCCAUCCCAAACACCACUUCACCGCCAGCAUUUAUAAUAGUGUUAAAUAUAAAAAAAAGUUUAACUUAUUGAGGGGUGGUGGUCAUACUCAGAGGCUUGCUGAAACAAGUGUGCUUGCUGUGAAAGUACAAAUGUUUGAGAACCACUGAGUUAGCAUUAAAAAAAAUUCUGAUCCACUCACUACACAUACAUCCCACUACUGCAACAUCUUAAAAAGAUACGUUAACUGCAAACAUUUGUGAAAUACUGCAGCUAUUUUACUAAAAUAUUCCUCUCACCAGUAAAAUAAUCCACCGCUAUACAAUCCUUUUACAAACACUACUUGGCAAGCUCUUAGCACCAAACACAACUGUUUAAGUCUUCAGCAAACUGGAUUUCUAAAAGAGGUAUUAUAUUAAAUCACAGAGAUUUUUGCAAGCGGUUGACAAGUGUGAAAUAAUUACAUCAAAAAAAAAUUGCUUAACGGCAUAUGCCCUCCCCCAGUAAACAAAGUUCUUUGCUACAGUAAAUGUUUCACAUAGGAACCUGUCUAAGGGUGUGAAAAGAGUUGCUGAUUGCUCUGUACGUUAAUAUGCAUUACAAAUAGUUAUUCACAUUACAAUAUAAAACCACAGUGCACAUGUGCUAAUUCCUGCAGAGGGCUGCUACCUGGAUGCUGCUUUUUAAAACCAAAAUUUACUCUACUAGGCUGAAGGACAGAUGAUUACUUUAUCUUGAGAUAACACUUCUGCUGUCAGACAUGCAAGAUCGACUAUCAUGCUGCAACUGGAACCACAAGAAAAAACAACUGUUUGCUAUGUGACAAGUUUAAGAUGAAGGGCAAAGCAAGACUCACACAAUAUGACUCCAUAAUAAUUUCUUAUUAGGAAGUACUAUUCCCCCCUCUUGUGGAAAACUACAGCCCCUGCCUGUGGAUGACUCAGGGUUGUAUGGUGAAGGAGGCUGUUGUCUGUGGGACCCCUGCCUCACAGAACUGGAAGCAGUAGAGUGAAUGUGGCAGGGGAUUGCAGGAAGAGGAAGAAAAGUCUCAUGGUUAAGGCAAUUGAAUGCUGUCCUGGAAAAGUGGAUUCCAUAUUUGCCUUUGCCACAGAGUUCCUCUGUCACUUAAACCAAGCUUUCCGUAAGUGGCCACUAACUGUGUUCUUCAUGUUUUGGGGGCCAAACUUGAUACUCUGGGGUCUGAUUUGCUAAAGUAUGAUGAACAUGCACAACUGCAACCGAAGUUGAUAGGAGCAGUGCUUUGAGCAUACAAAAUGCUAAAUAAUGUAAUGUUAAGUACUUUGAGGGAAAAAAAAAUAGUCAGGCCCUUGACAUCUCAAAUUAGAACCCAACAUUGGUGGAAACUUUUGACCUUACUCUCUCUGUCUCAACUUCCCACAUGUAAACUAGAGAUAAUACCAUCCACUCACUGCACAGGGAUGUUGUGAAGAUAAUAAAUUCAUGUUUGUGAAAAACUCAGAUACGAUAAUGAUAAAUGCCAUAGACCAGUGGUUUUCAAACUUUUUUUCUGGUGACACAGUUGAAGAAGAUUGAUGCGGCAAAGCAGGCAUGCUAAGGCAGCCUUCCUGCCUACCCUAGCACUGCAGACUGCGCUGCGCCCUGGAAGUGGCCAGCAGCAGGUCUGGCUCCUAGGCAGAGGCAUGCAAGCUGCUCUGUGAGGCUCUCGCCCGCAGGCACCACACCCCCACCUCCUGGUUCCCACUGGCCAGGGGCCAGUACUUGGGGUGGGGGCAGCGUGCGGAGCCCCAUAGCACCCCCACCUAUGAGCUACUGCUGGCCACUUCUGGGGCACAGCGUGGUGUCGGAACAGGUAGGGACUAGCCUGCCUUAACAGGGCAGCACCGCCAAUGGGACUUUUAACGGCCCGGUCGGCGGUGCUGACCAGAGCCCCCAUGACCCAGUGCCUUACAUUCUGUGACCCAGUACUGGGUCGCAACCCACAGUUUGAAAACCACUGCCAUAGACAAGCCCUUAAGGAAAUUAAUAAUUCUGUCUUCAGAGCUGAGUUUGAAUGUGUGCAUUAAAACUGGGUAUAGAGUCAUGCAAUAAAGUAUUUUACUUCCUUGA